rnacentral:rRNA from 1 species
UACAGAGGGUGCGAGCGUUAAUCGGAAUUACUGGGCGUAAAGCGUGCGUAGACGGUAGCGUAAGUCAGAUGUGAAAGCCCCGGGCUCAACCUGGGAAUUGCAUUUGAGACUGCUCUGCUCGGGGUGCGGAAGAGGGAAGCGGAAUUUCCGGUGUAGCGGUGAAAUGCGUAGAUAUCGGAAGGAACACCAGUGGCGAAAGCGGACUCACUGGCCCGGUACUGACGCUGAGGUGCGAAAGCGUGGGGAGCAAACAGG